rnacentral:lncRNA from 1 species
CAAAAGUUAAUACGCAUUAGAAAAUGGCGUGGCCUCAGCUCAUGAACUAAUCUUAUGUGGUAAUCGUGAUAGUGAAGAUUAUUGAGAAUUCUCAAUGCUGUUAUUCGUAGUAUACCGAUUUGUCUUUCAAUUUGUCGACUACUAAUUUGUGAAUUGAGAUGAACAGCUACUAAGGCAGCUAUAACAUUAGGAUCAUUUUCGUUGUAUUCGUGGUGUCUGCGUUGACGACGAAGAUGACUAUCUAGUGAAUUUCAACAUCGGCAUUAAAAUUAAAUUCAUUUUUUAUGCAUGCAAUUAAAUUUACUAAAAAUUUAUCUGCAGGUAAAAUCAAUUUGAGCACAUUUAAAGGAGAGGGCGAGCUAACAAACUUAGAGCUUGAUGAAAUUGUGUUAACUGACUUAUUGGAAUUUCCAUCAUGGCUACGAUUGACAAGUGCAUGGUGCAACAAAGUUACUUUCCGUAUUCAAUGGACCAAGUUGAAAAAUGUUCCUAUAUUUUUGAGUUUAAAUGAGGUAGAAACAUGUGAAGAUCUAAGACAUAUGUCUUCCACAAGGUUUGUCUUCAUACGCAGGCCCUAAAAUACUCAUAUAUACAUAAAAUAAUUGAUAGAAUCACUGUUGCUGUCAAUACUGUUUCUGUUAUAUUCAAAAGUCCUGCAUUCAUAGCCAAAGUUCAGAUGACUCGUAUAAUGGUAGAAUCAAAGUCCCCAACAUGGCAACAAUGUGAUUUGAGAACCACAAGAGUUAAGGAUCCCGAUUGAAGCUUAAGUACUUAAAUAUAUAAAAAAUCUCGCAAGCUUGUUUGACAAUCGUAGAAGCACAUUUGAAAAAUCGAAAGAAGGGAACGAACACAGUGGCGCUUCCUUUCACGACAAGAGGUUCUAGUAAACCUUUAUGUUGGAAGUAUAAGAGCGAUACAAUCAGUCUAAUCAUUUGAUACAAGAGGGCGUUAUCGGUCGUACGUCUCGUCGCGUCUCGUUGAGUCCGUAGCUCUGUCGAGUCACUCCGUUGCUAACUAUGUCACGGGUCGGUCGGUUGCUACUACCUCUAUGUAUCAGACCAAGCGCUUACUAAAUAAAUUUACUUUGUUUAUUCUUAACUUAAGAGUUUGUCAUUUCUGCAUAUACGCUCAUACCCAUUGCAACACUUUAUAAAUAAAUUUAUAUUAAAUUAACGUGCAUCCACCUAAAUGUCUCCGGUUCUCCGGUUCUCCGAUUCUCCGGUUCUGCGGUCCUAAAUGUUCACUUUUUUAUUAUAUGAGAACGACAAGUUUUUUAGGCGAUUGUACAACAUAUAACAAAUUUAGUGCCAACGUCAGCAGAAGGUAACAAUUUUGGGAACCGUCUUACGAAUCGUGUAAGCGAACUGCACACCUCCACUGAAACCUUGUAUUGCCGACAUUAGCACAAGCGUUACUAAUAUUUAAAUAUUUAGGACCAGAGAAGUUUAAAAAUAAAUAUUGUAUUUAAAGCUUUUAUAAAGUGUUUUGUUUUCUGCAGGUACAUCGAAUGUUUAACUAUAAUUUUGGAAACCACACCAACGUAAAGUCAUCGCUUCAAUAGUUAUCAAAUUAGUUUUAUAUUGUUAUAAUACAGAAAAUAUUAUAGUUUGAAAAUAUAGAUUGGUACCUACUUAAGAAUUAAAAAUCUAUUUGUCCUCUUAAUAAGUUUCAUAAUAAAAAUGUUACAAUAUUUUAAAAGUGUCAAAUUAUCUUCAAUUAAAAAUGAUAAUCCUACAGUAUGAUUUCAUAAAAUGUAUGAACGAUGUAUUAUCACCAACGAAUUGCAACCGAGCGAGCGUCAGCGAGCAAGGCGACCGUUGCUAGUAAACUUAUUAUUGCUAGAUUUAUUUCAAUAAGAAUAUGUAUUUUAUUUAUUUAAAUAAAAAUAGAAUUUUUGUAUACAAACUUUA